AGCCAGGCAGGAGGAGCUGGCCAAAGAUGUGGGACAAGCAUUUGAUCAAGAUGAUCUUCAGAAAGCAAAAAAAGUUUUGAUCAAAAUGAAAUAUUUUGCAAGCCUGGAAGAAAAGGUGAAGAAGAAAAAGAUUCCCUCCUGACACCACAUUACUGUGAUGAAUUUUUGCUGUUUUAUAUUUCCGAGGUAACUGGAAGCAGUAAAUCCGCCAUUGUCUUGGUCUUCCUGCUCCUGAGAAAAUACAGAGAGCCCCGCUGCUGGGUAAGACCACAGGUUCAGCGUCCUGCUUCUCACCAGCUGCCUCCAAGCAAGGCAGUCCUUCCUCUGACGACUGAGACGCCGUUGUGGAACCUGGAGGCUCCAGGGAGACAGUGUUGCUCAUAGCCAUCGAGGGCCAAGAGGAGCAGGACUCUGGAGCAGAAGAAGCCGGCUGUCGCUCAGGAAGGUGUGCAUGGGAAUAAAACAGUCUUCUUCAA